GGCGGCGUGCUUAACACAUGCAAGUCGAGUGCGCGCCUGUAGCAAUACAGGUGGCGCACGGCGCACGGGUGCGUAACACGUGGGUAAUCUGCCCUUCGAUGGGGAAUAACUCGCCGAAAGGCGAGCUAAUUCCGCAUAACAUUCCGAGAACUUUGGUUUUUGGACUCAAAGGCGUAAGUCGUCGGAGGAGGAGCCCGCGCACGAUUAGCUAGUUGGUGAGGUAAUGGCUCACCAAGGCUAUGAUCGUUAGCUGGUCUGAGAGGAUGGCCAGCCACACUGGAACUGAGACACGGUCCAGACUCCUACGGGAGGCAGCAGUGGGGAAUCUUGCACAAUGGGCGAAAGCCUGAUGCAGCGACGCCGCGUGGGGGAUGAAGCUUUUCGGAGUGUAAACCCCUUUCGACCCGGACGAAAACCUCGCAAGAGGAUUGACGGUACGGGUAUAAGAAGCCCCGGCUAACUACGUGCCAGCAGCCGCGGUAAGACGUANGGGGCCAGCGUUGCUCGGAAUUACUGGGU
rnacentral:rRNA from 1 species